rnacentral:rRNA from 1 species
ACCUGACUGCUAUCGGAUUGAUACUAAGCCAUGCGAGUCUUUGUAAUAAUACAAGGCAUACGGCUCAGUAACGCGUAGUCAACCUACCCUAUGGACAAGAAUAAUCUCGGGAAACUGAGCAUAAUUCUUGAUAGAUCAUAAUGCCUGGAAUGGUUUAUGGUUAAAAUGAUUCGUCGCCAUAGGAUGGGACUGCGGCCUAUCAGCUUGUUGGUGAGGUAAUGGCCCACCAAGGCGAUUACAGGUACGGGCUCUGAGAGGAGAAGCCCGGAGAUGGGUACUGAGACAAGGACCCAGGCCCUAUGGGGCGCAGCAGGCGAGAAAACUUUGCAAUGUGCGAAAGCACGACAAGGUUAGUCCGAGUGAUUUCUACUAAAGAGAUCUUUUGCUAGUUAUAAAACCACUAGUGAAUAAGGGGUGGGCAAGUUCUGGUGUCAGCCGCCGCGGUAAAACCAGCACCUCAAGUGGUCAGGAUGAUUAUUGGGCCUAAAGCAUCCGUAGCCGGCUCUGUAAGUUUUCGGUUAAAUCUGUACGCUUAACGUACAGGCUGCCGGGAAUACUGCAAAGCUAGGGAGUGGGAGAAGUAGACGGUACUCGGUAGGAAGUGGUAAAAUGCUUUGAUCUAUCGAUGACCACCUGUGGCGAAGGCGGUCUACUAGAACACGUCCGACGGUGAGGGAUGAAAGCUGGGGGAGCAAACCGGAUUAGAUACCCGGGUAGUCCCAGCUGUAAACUAUGCAAACUCAGUGAUGCAUUGGCUUGUGGCCAAUGCAGUGCUGCAGGGAAGCCGUUAAGUUUGCCGCCUGGGAAGUACGUACGCAAGUAUGAAACUUAAAGGAAUUGGCGGGGGAGCACCACAAGGGGUGAAGCCUGCGGUUCAAUUGGAUU